rnacentral:rRNA from 1 species
UACGGAGGGGGCCAGCGUUGUUCGGAAUCAUUGGGCGUAAAGGGCGCGUAGGCGGCCGCACAAGUCGGACGUGAAAUCCCUCGGCUUAACCGGGGAACUGCGUCCGAUACUGUAUGGCUCGAGUCCUGGAGAGGGUGGCGGAAUUCCCAGUGUAGCGGUGAAAUGCGUAGAUACUGGGAGGAACACCGGUGGCGAAGGCGGCCACCUGGACAGGUACUGACGCUAAAGCGCGAAAGCGUGGGGAGCAAACAGG